rnacentral:rRNA from 1 species
UAGGGAAUAUUAGUAAUGGGCGAAAGCCUGAACUAGCAACGCCGCGUGUGCGAAGAAGGCCUUCGGGUUGUAAAGCACUUUUUGAGGGGAUGAGGAAGGACGGUACUCUCAGAAUAAGUCUCGGCUAACUACGUGCCAGCAGCCGCGGUAACACGUAGGAGGCAAACGUUAUCCGGAUUUACUGGGCGUAAAGCGCGUGUAGGUGGUUUGGUAAGUAGGGCGUGAAAGCUCCUGGCCCAACUGGGAGAGGCCGUUCUAAACUGCCGAACUAGAGGAUGGUAGAGGGAGGUGGAAUUCCGGGUGUAGCGGUGGAAUGCGCAGAUAUCCGGAGGAACACCAGUGGCGAAAGCGGCCUCCUGGACCAUUCCUGACACUCAGACGCGAAAGCUAGGGUAGCAAACCG